rnacentral:rRNA from 1 species
AGCGGCGGACGGGUGAGUAAUGUCUGGGAAACUGCCUGAUGGAGGGGGAUAACUACUGGAAACGGUAGCUAAUACCGCAUACCAUCAGAUGUGCCCAGAUGGGAUUAGCUAGUAGGUGGGGUAACGGCUCACCUAGGCGACGAUCCCUAGCUGGUCUGAGAGGAUGACCAGCCACACUGGAACUGAGACACGGUCCAGACUCCUACGGGAGGCAGCAGUGGGGAAUAUUGCACAAUGGGCGCAAGCCUGAUGCAGCCAUGCCGCGUGUGUGAAGAAGGCCUUCGGGUUGUAAAGCACUUUCAGCGGGGAGGCGUUACCCGCAGAAGAAGCACCGGCUAACUCCGUGCCAGCAGCCGCGGUAAUACGGAGGGUGCAAGUGUUAAUCGGAAUUACUGGGCGUAAAGCGCACGCAGGCGGUCUGUCAAGUCGGAUGUGAAUCCCCGGGCUUAACCUGGGAACUGCAUUCGAAACUGGCAGCUAGAGUCUUUAGAGGGGGGUAGAAUUCCAGGUGUAGCGGUGAAAUGCGUAGAGAUCUGGAGGA